AGGACGAACGCUGGCGGCGUGCUUAACACAUGCAAGUCGAACGGUAAGGCCUUUCGGGGUACACGAGUGGCGAACGGGUGAGUAACACGUGGGUGAUCUGCCCUGCACUUUGGGAUAAGCCUGGGAAACUGGGUCUAAUACCGAAUAUGACCAUUGGUUGCAUGACUGGUGGUGGAAAGCUUUUGCGGUGUGGGAUGGGCCCGCGGCCUAUCAGCUUGUUGGUGGGGUUAAGGCCUACCAAGGCGACGACGGGUAGCCGGCCUGAGAGGGUGUCCGGCCACACUGGGACUGAGAUACGGCCCAGAUUCCUACGGGAGGCAGCAGUGGGGAAUAUUGCACAAUGGGCGCAAGCCUGAUGCAGCGACGCCGCGUGAGGGACGACGGCCUUCGGGUUGUAAACCUCUUUCAGUAGGACGAAGCGCAAGUGACGGUACCUACAGAAGAAGGACCGGCCAACUACGCGCCAGCAGCCGC
rnacentral:rRNA from 1 species